UACGUAGGGUGCAAGCGUUGUCCGGAAUUAUUGGGCGUAAAGAGCUCGUAGGCGGUCUGUUGCGUCGGCUGUGAAAACCCGGGGCUCAACCCCGGGCCUGCAGCCGAUACGGGCAGACUAGAGUUCGGCAGGGGAGACUGGAAUUCCUGGUGUAGCGGUGAAAUGCGUAGAUAUCAGGAGGAAUACCGGUGGCGAAAGCGACUCUCUGGACGGCAACUGACGCUGAGGCACGAAAGCGUGGGGAGCAAACAGG
rnacentral:rRNA from 1 species